AUUGAACGCUGGCGGCAGGCCUAACACAUGCAAGUCGAACGGCAGCACAGAAGAGCUUGCUCUUUGGGUGGCGAGUGGCGGACGGGUGAGUAAUGUCUGGGAAACUGCCCGAUGGAGGGGGAUAACUACUGGAAACGGUAGCUAAUACCGCAUAACGUCGCAAGACCAAAGUGGGGGACCUUCGGGCCUCACACCAUCGGAUGCGCCCAGAUGGGAUUGGCUCGUAGGUGGGGUAAUGGCUCACCUAGGCGACGAUCCCUAGCUGGUAUGAGAGGAUGCACAGCCACACUGGAACUGGGACACGGUCCAGACUCCUACGGGAGGCAAAAGUGGGGAAUAUUGCACAAUGGGCGCAAGCCUGAUGCAGCCAUGCCGCGUGUAUGAAGAAGGCCUUCGGGUUGUAAAGUACUUUCAGCGGGGAGGAAGGCGGUGAGGUUAAUAACCUCGCCGAUUGACGUUACCCGCAGAAGAAGCACCGGCUAACUCCGUGCCAGCAGCCGCCGUAA
rnacentral:rRNA from 1 species